AAUAAGUGCAGCCAUAGAUAUCCGAAUUUAUCGUUUUGACCAUCCGUCUUAUUUGAAAAUUUUAAGAAAAAUAUUUAAAAAAUUAGUCACACGUUAAGUACUAUUCAUAUUUUAUCAUCUAGUAACAAUAAAAUUACUAAUUAUAAUAUUUUUUCAAAUAAGACGAACAGUCAAACGUUGGACAUGAACAGUGAUAAAACUGCAUUUAUU
rnacentral:pre_miRNA from 1 species